GUCAGUAUAAUUUAACAAAAAUAUUAGAAUGUGAGCCUGAAAAUAGAAGUUUAACCCUUCUUAAUGACC
rnacentral:tRNA from 1 species